rnacentral:rRNA from 1 species
CAGUAGCCGCGGGAAUACGUAGGGUGCAAGCGUUACUCGGAAUUACUGGGCGUAAAGCGUGCGUAGGUGGUGGUUUAAGUCCGUUGUGAAAGCCCUGGGCUCAACCUGGGAAUUGCAGUGGAUACUGGGUCACUAGAGUGUGGUAGAGGAUAGUGGAAUUUCCGGUGUAGCAGUGAAAUGCGUAGAGAUCGGAAGGAACAUCUGUGGCGAAGGCGACUAUCUGGGCCAACACUGACACUGAGGCACGAAAGCGUGGGGAGCAAACAGGAUUAGAUACCCCUGUAGUCCCUGUCUCUUAUAC